CAAGCGUUGUUCGGAAUUACUGGGCGUAAAGGGCGCGUAGGCGGUUCGCUAAGUUGGAUGUGAAAACUCUGGGCUCAACCCAGAGCCUGCAUCCAAAACUGGCGGGCUAGAGUUCUGGAGGGGGUAGCGGAAUUCCUGGUGUAGCGGUGAAAUGCGUAGAUAUCAGGAGGAACACCGGUGGCGAAGGCGGCUACCUGGACAGAAACUGACGCUGAGGCGCGAAAGCUAGGGGAGCAAACAGG
rnacentral:rRNA from 1 species